AGCAGCCGCGGUAAUUCCAGCUCCAAUAGCGUAUAUUAAAGUUGUUGCAGUUAAAAAGCUCGUAGUUGAAUUUCGGGGUUAGUACGCUGGUCGUGCCUUCGGUACGUACUGGUGUUACUGAUUCCUACUUUCUGACGAACCGUCAUGUCAUUAAUUUGAUGUGGCGGGGAAUCAGGACUGUUACUUUGAAAAAUUAGAGUGUUUAAAGCAGGCUCGCGCUUGAAUACAUUAGCAUGGAAUAAUGAAAUAGGACGUUCGAUCCUAUUUUGUUGGUUUCUAGGAUUGACGUAAUGAUUAAUAGGGAUAGUUGGGGGCAUUAGUAUUCAAUUGUCAGAGGUGAAAUUCUUGGAUUUAUUGAAGACUAACUACUGCGAAAGCAUUUGCCAAGGAUGUUUUCAUUAAUCAAGAACGAAAGUUAGGGGAUCGAAGACGAUCAGAUACCGUCGUAGU
rnacentral:rRNA from 1 species